GUGGGGAAUAUUGGACAAUGGGCGCAAGCCUGAUCCAGCCAUGCCGCGUGAGUGAUGAAGGCCUUAGGGUUGUAAAGCUCUUUCAGUGGGGACGAUAAUGACGGUACCCACAGAAGAAGCCCCGGCUAACUCCGUGCCAGCAGCCGCGGUAAUACGGAGGGGGCUAGCGUUGUUCGGAAUUACUGGGCGUAAAGCGCACGUAGGCGGAUCGGAAAGUUGGGGGUGAAAUCCCAGGGCUCAACCCUGGAACUGCCUUCAAAACUAUCGGUCUGGAGUCCGAGAGAGGUGAGUGGAAUUCCGAGUGUAGAGGUGAAAUUCGUAGAUAUUCGGAGGAACACCAGUGGCGAAGGCGGCUCACUGGCUCGGUACUGACGCUGAGGUGCGAAAGCGUGGGGAGCAAACAGGAUUAGAAACCCGUGUAGUCC
rnacentral:rRNA from 1 species